GGUGGGUGCGGGGGGGCGGCGGCGGGAAGAGUGGGGGGGGUAGGGUUGUUUGGCAGGGGCGGGCCGCAAGCGGAAGGAGGCGGACCGGCUAGGUGGGGGUGAAAUCCCGGGGCUCAACCCCGGAACUGCCGCCAAAACUGCAGGUCUGGAGGCCGGGAGAGGCGAGUGGAAUUCCGAGGGUAGAGGUGAAAUUCGUAGAUAUUCGGAGGAACACCAGUGGCGAAGGCGGCUCGCUGGUCCGGUACUGACGCUGAGGUGCGAAAGCGUGGGGAGCAAACAGGAUUAGAUACCCCAGUAGUC
rnacentral:rRNA from 1 species